UAGAAGCUUCCGUCCUGUGGCGCCUCCAAUGAAGCAGUUCACGCAUUGACUGAAAUGCAUUUGCAGUGUAGGUGUGAGGGUUGAACAGUGAAUUGACUGCUUGGCGCUGUUUAAAGUGACAGUAUUUUUUAAAUCCGUGUGAUUAUUGUGUAAUUAAAGGCCAGAAAAUGAGUUACCACCGGGGAGGUGGUAACAAGCCAAAAGGCUUUGGCUUCACUGGGUUUCAAGUAGCUGGCACAAAGAGAACCGGAGCUAAUAUUCCACCGCCUCCGCCCAGUGCAACACUCAGUAAACAGGGAUAUCAUACAAUGAAUGCUAUUACAGAAAAUGCACUUGCUGCUAACUGGGGUAUCCCAAAGAAGCGAAGUAAAACCGAAGAAGAAUAUUUUGAGGACGAUGACGAUGCACCUACUUCAUCUUUGGAAUAUAUUCCGGCACCUGGUUCACCUACCUAUGAUUUGAUGAAAAAAGAUAACCGUAAGCAAGAUAGUGACAGUGAUGAAGAUCCUCUGGACGCUUUCAUGGCUGGAAUUGAUGCUGAGGUAAGAAAAAAUACUUUUGAAGCUGAACUAGCAGAGGAGGAGAGAAAAGAGGAAAAAUCCAAGGGAAUCAGAACAGAUAUUGAUGGAGAAGACAAUGAAGAGAGUUACUACAGGUAUAUGGAAGAGAAUCCAACCGCAGGACUCCAGCAAGAAGAGUCAGAUCAAGAAAUUGAGUACGACGAAGAUGGCAAUCCACUAGCACCACCAAAAAAAAAAGAUAUAGACCCCUUGCCUCCAAUAGAUCACAGCGAAAUUCACUAUGAACCAUUUGAAAAAAAUUUUUACAAUGUUCAUGAGGAGAUUGCAAAUCUGAAUAAAAGUCAAGUAGAGGACUUGAGACAGACUUUGGGAAUCAAGGUGACCGGGCCUUCGCCACCUAAUCCAGUUACCAGUUUUGGGCAUUUUGGAUUCGACGAUCCAUUGAUUAAGUCUAUAAGAAAGAAUGAGUACACUCAGCCAACUCCUAUACAAGCACAGGCUAUUCCAGCUGCUUUGAGUGGCAGGGACCUGAUAGGAAUUGCUAAAACUGGUAGCGGGAAAACAGCCGCCUUCAUCUGGCCAAUGCUUGUGCAUAUCAUGGACCAGCAGGAACUCAAACCUGGCGACGGUCCUAUUGGUUUAAUAUUAGCCCCUACUAGAGAAUUGUCGCAGCAGAUAUAUCAAGAAGCAAAAAAGUUCGGAAAAGUCUAUAACAUCCAAGUCUGUUGCUGUUACGGUGGUGGUAGUAAAUGGGAACAAAGUAAAGCGUUGGAAGGAGGCGCUGAAAUUGUGGUAGCAACUCCGGGAAGGAUGAUUGACCUGGUCAAAAUGAAAGCUACAAAUUUGGCCAGAGUGACAUUUUUGGUGCUCGAUGAAGCCGACAGAAUGUUCGAUAUGGGUUUCGAGCCACAGGUGAGGUCAAUAUGCAACCACGUCCGACCGGACAGACAGACGCUUCUUUUCAGUGCCACUUUUAAAAAGAGAGUGGAAAAAUUAGCCCGCGACGUGCUCACCGAUCCCGUAAGAAUCGUUCAAGGUGACGUCGGAGAGGCUAACACUGACGUGACUCAACACGUCGUCAUGUUUAACAGCAAUCCCACUGGAAAAUGGUCAUGGCUUCUGCACAACAUUGUGGAAUUCCUCAGCGCCGGAAGUCUUCUAAUAUUUGUGACUAAAAAACUGAACGCGGAGGAAGUAUCAAAUAACCUCAAGCUGAAGGAAUUUGAUGUCCUCCUGCUGCAUGGUGACAUGGAUCAAACUGAAAGAAACAAAGUCAUCACUGCGUUCAAAAAACAGGAAGUUAGCAUACUGGUCGCUACCGACGUUGCUGCUCGCGGUUUGGACAUUCCUCACAUAAAAACUGUACUGAACUACGACGUGGCUCGUGACAUUGACACGCAUACCCACAGGAUAGGGCGUACAGGCCGUGCGGGAGAAAAAGGUACGGCCUAUACUCUUGUCACAGAUAAAGACAAGGAAUUCGCCGGGCAUCUGGUGCGAAAUUUGGAAGGUGCCAAUCAAGAGGUACCGAAGGGUCUGCUCGAUCUGGCCCUGCAGAGCGCCUGGUUCAGAAAAUCCCGAUUUAAGGGAGGUAAAGGGAAAAGUUUGAACGUCGGUGGUGCGGGACUCGGGUUCAGGGGGCGAGCCGGAAUAGGAGCAGCGAGCGCACAGGGCAGCGGGGGAUCGUUGGCACCGGGAACGAAAGACAUCAGCGAAGUCGUUAAAAAAUUAGAGAGGCACGGACCGGGAAGCGACCGGUUAUCCGCGAUGAAAGCAGCAUUCAAAAGCCAGUACAACACGCAAUUCCGAGCGUCUUCGGAUCAUACUUGGGAGCAAACCAUUCAGCCAGCUUCGGUAGUGAUGCCUCCACCUCCCCCAGUCCUACCUCCUCCACCUCCACCAACUUCAUCCAGGGAAGAACCGGAAGUCGAAAACAGUCAGAGUUCGAAUUCUUCUGCAGCGACGCAGGGAGAACGAAAGAGGGUCAGAAAGAGUCGAUGGGAGUGAUUUGAAACGAAGUCUCCGCCAAUUCUCAUUGUUUGGGGGAGAAACGCCGGUCAUUACCUCGGAUCCGGCACGAGAAGUCGGGCCACAAAGUCUCUCGCCUGCAGGGAAACGUCGUCGAAUAAUUCCUCGGGAAAAUCCACCUCCCCUAAGGAUAUGUUUUGAAACGUUUCCUGGUCGGUGUCGCCCCCGAAAGGAGAAAAUCCCGUCAGAAGGACGCACCGUCCGGACGCGCCAGUCGACCUCGGGCUCGAACAUCGCCCGUGCCAGAUAUAUCCCAGGAGAGUGAAGUUACGCGACCUUGUCAGGAUAACGCAUCCUCGAGACGUCUUGAACUCGACGUAGCGGAAAUCGCCGAUGUGUAGAGUGUGUGUAAGGAGUGCGGCAAAGAGAGAUAAUCGUAAAGUACGUAUCAUAUGUGUGCAGCAGCGCGUACGUGAGCGCACGACAAAGAAACUGGCUUCUUUUCUCAUAUGGGAAUCGUGAGGUUUAAAACUUUGCUGCUGCUGCUGCUGUUGCUGCUGCUGCUGCUGGCGCAGGCUAACGUCGUUGCAAUGAAAAUUUACUGCAAGGUCGAUAAUCGGUGGUCAAGGACUUUGCCCAGUUCUUCGCAGUAUUCGUUCAACUUUGGACUGGAAUACAUGCGGAGCAGUUACGUGGCAUCUGGCAACAUUUUAAAGGUUUUCAAUCAGUCACCACGGCGGCUAAUUCGUCGCAGUACUCAUUCAACUGCCAACCACGAAGGGCAGGAGUUAUACAUGGCAUCGCACAAUUCGUUCACAGGUAUCCAAAGAUGCUGCCGCCGUAGCUGCUGUUUGACCGGACUCCCCCUGUUC